AUGGCCGCGGUAUUUUGACCGUGCGAAGGUAGCAUAAUCAUUUGUUCAUUAAUUGUGGAAUGGUAUGAAUGGUUGGACGAGAUAUUUUCUGUCUUGUAUUUAUUUUUUGAAUUUAAUUUUUGAGUUAAAAAGCUUAAAUUUUAUUAAAGGACGAGAAGACCCUAUAGAUCUUUAUUUUUAUUAAUUAUUAAUUUUUAGUUUAUAUUUAUUUUAUUAAAUCUUUGGUUGGGGUGACUUUUGGAUAUAAUUAACUCUUUAUUUUUUUUUUCAUUUAUUUAUGUUUAGAUGACCUUUUAAUAUUGUUAACAAGAUUAAGAUACCUUAGGGAUAACAGCGUAAUUUUGUUUGCGAGUUCAUAUUUACAAUAAAGAUUGCGACCUCGAUGUUGAAUUAAGAUUAUUUUUGGGUGUAGAAGCUUAAUUAAUAGGUCUGUUCGACCUUUAAAAUCUUACAUGAUCUGAGUUCA
rnacentral:rRNA from 1 species